rnacentral:rRNA from 1 species
UACAGAGGAGGCAAGCGUUGUUCGGAAUCACUGGGCUUAAAGCGCGUGUAGGCGGCCAUGCAAGUACUUUGUGAAAUCCCUCGGCUCAACCGGGGAAUUGCUUGGUAUACUGCAGGGCUUGAGGCGGGUAGGGGUGCUUGGAACUCUAGGUGGAGCGGUGAAAUGCGUAGAUAUCUAGAGGAACGCCUGUGGCGAAAGCGGAGCACUGGGCCCGUCCUGACGCUAAGACGCGAAAGCGUGGGUAGCAAACGGG